rnacentral:snoRNA from 1 species
UCUUGUGAUGCGAUGAUGAUUCAUAUAGGUUUUUGGCAGUGGUGGCAUCUGUCACCGUGAGCCUCCAAACCAAAAACGACUUCUCUUUCCACUGAGCAUUGCUU